UUGAUGCGCACCGCUGGGAAGCCGGACAACGUAUCUUCAAGAUCGAGAUCGCCAUAGCUAAUCGGCGUGACACUCCUACCAGCUAAUCGGAAAGACUAAGUUUUGCUUAGUCUUGCUUUCCUCAUGUUUCUUACUCUCCUCGGGCUUGGAGGAUGUUUCAUUCUUGUCACUCUUACCAGCUGAAUCCACAUAAUUGACUCCACCUGACAUCAGAGCGACCCAAACCCCCUCGUUGGGGAGAGUUCGUCCUCAUCUCCUUUCCCUGCUCUCGGCUGCCCAUAUAUUUGUUUUGAUUCAGAUUCUCUCUCAGAUCAAAUUGGGUGGGUAUCUGGUUAUGUUGCUGAUUGUGAUUGGGAUGUUGUUGCCUGCUUCCAUCCCACUGGUUUCUCUGACUGUUAAACUGUCGUCCCCCUGGAAGCCCCCUCUCUUCUAUCCUCCCUACCUCUAUGCUGAAAACUCCCUCCACUCUCACAUGGACCUUGCAACCCACCACCAUCGCCGACUGAUCUGCCUCCACCACGCGGCACCCAGUGCCCCCCAGCCAUCCCUCUACCAGCCAUUGAGUCUGCGAACUUGGACAAAAGACCUAGUAUCACCUCCCAAACUCGACCACCUGCCAACCGCUGAACCACGAAGGGGAACAGAUGCAGCAGGCCUUCUCCAAUUCCUUGCAAGGACCUUGAUUUCUGCGCAAGCGCCCACCAAAGCACUUCUCGACCAGAGAUGAUUCAGCUAUUCCUCAAGAGCUGGAUCCUCCCCCCUCAAUUUGGAACACAGAGGGUUCCCAGAUCUUUGUCAAUUGCUAAUUUUGAUUAUAUUUGUAUUUUUAAAAUUAGCUACAGACAAAUCGUAUCUGACAUGGACUGGUGGGUCAAGUCCUAGUUCUUUUCUUAAUUUCAAAUGUAGCUAUUUAGUAAUCGUAUUCGACAUGGACGUUUUGGUCCAGUGCUAAUUUCUUAAAUUUUAAUUUCGAAAUGCGAUAUUAUUAAACAUUUUGAUAUGGACUUUUUGGGUUGAUAUAGACCCUUAGAUCAUCAUAAAAUAUUGUUUGUGCACAACGGCACAUAAAAAAGGUAAAGACUAGUAUAAGGCCCGCCGUAUUUUUGUUCUUUGGAAUGGCUUCCAUCCAUCUCGUGCGUCUUCUCCCGCACACUGCCCAUAACCCACUCGGCUGCCCAAAUCCUACUGCCUUUUCCUUUAUCUCUCAACCUUAUCUCUUCCCCACCGACACCUCCCCUCCUCCUUUCCCCAACCUCCCUUCCCCUUCCCCUUCCCUCCUUUCCUGCCGCAGGUCCCCCUCCCGGUCCUCUGCUGCGCCCUCCCUUGCUCUUCCCCCACACCCCGCGACCGCCUUCCCUGCGCGGCGGAGCGACGCGGGCAGCGCGGCGCAUCGCGGGCAGAGCGGCACGACGGGGCCGUAGCGGCGCAGGCCGAGCUCCUCAUCGGCGCCGCAACACCGGGGGUAUGGCUCCACCUCCGCGCCGUCCUUCGCCUCCGCCUCCACCACGUCGCCGCCUCCGUAGCAGCAACCUCAUCCGGGGGGCUCGCCCCGCAGUGAAGCGGAUGGCUCGGUCAGGCAGGCCCUUCUGCUCUUCGUCCACAACAAGCUAACCAUGUGCCCCGACCGCUGCUUCUCGUUCGCCUCCAUCAGCCAGACCGUCUCCAUGGUGAUUCUACUAUUUUUACUGCUAAGGUUGCUGCUGCAUAAGUUGCAGACGGAGUGGCAAGAGGGUGCUUCGAAGGAUCAGACUGUGCACAUGAAGGUGUGGCCGGUAAAGAUAUUUUGGGUCUGCUCCGAUCUCAAAUCUUGAGGUGUUCCUAAAGGCUGUCGCUACACAUUUGCCAUGGUGGUCAGGUCUCUUGGUGAGAUUAAUGCACCUCUGCAUUUGUUGAAACCAAGUUUGACUUUUCUACUGUCUAAGCAUUUUAUUAUGUCCUUAUGUCCUCUUGGUAAUGCAUAAUUCAGCCAUGCCAACUUUUGAUAAAUCAUCAAGUAAUUUAUUAAUUUUAGUUUAUCAUAUGCAUGCUGAUGGUAGCAUUUUUAUAUUUUCCUAUUCAUCAUUUUUUGGAUUUUGUGUAGGCAACUUAUGGUAAACAAACAGGCAAAUUAAUGACUGAAGUAGAUUGUUUUUUACUGAGAUAGCUAGGCAGAUUUGCAUGCUUCAUGUAGCAUGACGUCAGUAAUUCAAUGGCUCUUCUUUUUUCUUCAGUACAUGCAUGGAUUGCAGUACCAGCUAGGCAUAUCUUGAUAGGGGCUGGUUGUGGGCAGAAUAGAGAUUUUGCUUCAUACAUUCCUGCAUUGACUCCUAUAAAAUCAUAGUUAAAUUUUAGGGGGAAGCUCACUUAAAUACAUGACCCUGCAGCUCCUACUUUAUCACCUACAAUUCAGUGAGCAAAAUAGUGUUAUUCAGCGGGCAAAUUAGAGAAGUAUAGCCGGCAAAUAGCUAGGUGCUAUGUAGCUAGCAAACAACAAAUGCAUUCAAAACUAGCUAGCAUUUGAUCACAAAAUAGGCAGGGGGCACGGUAAGCAAAACAAGUAAAUUAAUUGGCAAACUUUGGGGGGGGGGACUGCAAUUCAGUAGUGAAAUCUUGCAAUUUUUUUUACUACAUCCCUUUUUUUUACUCUUAUGUGGUUGUCACUACAUGUUAAUACAUUACAUGGAACCUUUUUACUGUAACAUUUUUGUUAGGUGAUCAAAAUCAGCAAAAUACAGUAGAGUCUAUAUUGCUUGACAGGAUACUGCAAUUUCUUCAGUAUGCAGUAUCAUAAGCAGUUCAAGUAAGUCAGCUGGAUUAUCCUUCAUCUACUAGGCGUAUACAAUGUAUUAAUUUGCUAGAAUGUAGUCUAUGCGUCAUGGAAUUUGUUGUGUGUAUGAUUGCUUCUUAUUGUUGUGCAAUUAAAUGAAUUUCCUCUAAGCAGAUUAGUGUAAUACAACAUGCAAUUAAUUGAAUUUCCUCUAGGCAGAUUAGUCCAAUAUAGCAAGCAAUUAAAUGUUGUUUCAUAGGCAAAUUGGUGCAAUAGAGCAAGCAAAACAAUGGAUCAGUUACCUAUUGUAUAUUCUUUAUUAAUUUAUGAUAUAGAAUGUUUAUUGUUUCUAUUUUUGUCAUGGUGCAGGAGAUAGUAGGGAUCAGUAAAUAUCUUACAGCAAAAAAAUGACACGCAAGUAAGCACUAAGCAGUAGAUGGUAUGUGCACUUCUCCAACUAAGUUGUUUUUGGUCCCUGGAUUCACACAGUGCAGCAUCUUGGAGCUUCAUAUUUUGUUCUCUUGGUUGGAUAGUGCCGUCCAACCUCCCUUCUAGUAACACAUUUCUAGUAAAUCAAAAGCAGUUUCUACAGUUUCCCUCAGGCAUGUUUGUAAAGUGGAUCCAUGAACAGAAAUAAGGAUAUGUGAUGUGUUUUGUGGAAUAUGUGAAACUUUCCCUGCUAUGGAAAAUCUACCGGAACAAUCUGCUGAUUUAGAGCUAUAUUUGCACAAUAUAAUACUAGAUCUGGGCAAUUUA